rnacentral:rRNA from 1 species
UACGAGAGGCCCAAACGUUAUUCGGAAUUACUGGGCUUAAAGAGUUCGUAGGCGGCAUUGCAAGUAGGGUGUGAAAGCCCUCGGCUCAACCGAGGAAUUGCGCUCUAAACUGCAGUGCUUGAGGAACCUAGAGGUGAGCAGAACAGAUGGUGGAGCGGUGAAAUGCGUUGAUAUCAUCUGGAAUACCGGAGGCGAAGGCGGCUCACUGGGAGUUUUCUGACGCUGAGGUGCGAAAGCGUGGGGAGCAAACAGG